rnacentral:lncRNA from 1 species
CGACGCCCCAGACUUGCGGGGAGAACGAGAUAUGGAAGGAGUGCGUGAGCAGCAGCUGCGCUGAAGGCACCUGCGAAAAGCCCGUCCCGGGACCCGCGUGCACUGCUGACUGCAGCUAUGGCUGCUACUGCGCCGACAGCUUCUACCGCCACCAAGGGCGUUGCAUCUCUCUGGAGGAGUGCCCCGGUCACUAGGCACCAGAGGUCAACAAUCACGGGCGACGGUGGAUGUUAAGGAGCAAAGGAAGCAAAGAGGACUACGAGAAGAAAUAGUAUGCCGAAGCCUCUAGAACUGCAAUUGGCUAUUGAUAAACGAAACAUGUUUUAAUUUUCGAAAUAAAUUCAGCCUUUAAAUAAAUGUAGACAUUAUUAUCGCAUGUAUUCCCAU